rnacentral:rRNA from 1 species
UACGAAGGGGGCUAGCGUUGUUCGGAAUUACUGGGCGUAAAGCGCACGUAGGCGGAUCGAUCAGUCAGGGGUGAAAAUCCCAGAGCUCAACUCUGGAACUGCCUUUGAUACUGUCGGUCUAGAGUAUGGAAGAGGUGAGUGGAAUUCCGAGUGUAGAGGUGAAAUUCGUAGAUAUUCGGAGGAACACCAGUGGCGAAGGCGGCUCACUGGUCCAUUACUGACGCUGAGGUGCGAAAGCGUGGGGAGCAAACAGG